GGUUAAGCGACUAAGCGUACACGGUGGAUGCCCUGGCAGUCAGAGGCGAUGAAGGACGUGCUAAUCUGCGAAAAGCGUCGGUAAGGUGAUAUGAACCGUUACAGCCGGCGAUGUCCGAAUGGGGAAACCCAGUGUGAUUCGUCACUAUCGUUAACUGAAUACAUAGGUUAACGAGGCGAACCGGGGGAACUGAAACAUCUAAGUACCCCGAGGAAAAGAAAUCAACCGAGAUUCCCCCAGUAGCGGCGAGCGAACGGGGAGCAGCCCAGAGUCUGAAUCAGCUUGUGUGUUAGUGGAACGGUCUGGAAAGUCCGACGGUACAGGGUGAUAGUCCCGUACACCAAAAUGCACAGGCUGUGAACUCGAAGAGUAGGGCGGGACACGUGGUAUCCUGUCUGAAUAUGGGGGGACCAUCCUCCAAGGCUAAAUACUCCUGACUGACCGAUAGUGAACCAGUACCGUGAGGGAAAGGCGAAAAGAACCCCGGCGAGGGGAGUGAAAAAGAACCUGAAACCGUGUACGUACAAGCAGUGGGAGCACCUUCGGGUGUGACUGCGUACCUUUUGUAUAAUGGGUCAGCGACUUAUAUUCUGUAGCAAGGUUAACCGUAUAGGGGAGCCGCAGGGAAACCGAGUCUUAACUGGGCGUUAAGUUGCAGGGUAUAGACCCGAAACCCGGUGAUCUAGCCAUGGGCAGGUUGAAGGUUGGGUAACACUAACUGGAGGACCGAACCGACUAAUGUUGAAAAAUUAGCGGAUGACUUGUGGCUGGGGGUGAAAGGCCAAUCAAACCGGGAGAUAGCUGGUUCUCCCCGAAAGCUAUUUAGGUAGCGCCUCGUGAACUCAUCUUCGGGGGUAGAGCACUGUUUCGGCUAGGGGGUCAUCCCGACUUACCAACCCGAUGCAAACUACGAAUACCGAAGAAUGUUAUCACGGGAGACACACGGCGGGUGCUAACGUCCGUCGUGAAGAGGGAAACAACCCAGACCGCCAGCUAAGGUCCCAAAGUCACAGUUAAGUGGGAAACGAUGUGGGAAGGCACAGACAGCCAGGAUGUUGGCUUAGAAGCAGCCAUCAUUUAAAGAAAGCGUAAUAGCUCACUGGUCGAGUCGGCCUGCGCGGAAGAUGUAACGGGGCUAAACUGUGCACCGAAGCUGCGGCAGCGACACUAUGUGUUGUUGGGUAGGGGAGCGUUCUGUAAGCCUGCGAAGGUGGCCUGUGAGGGUUGCUGGAGGUAUCAGAAGUGCGAAUGCUGACAUAAGUAACGAUAAUGCGGGUGAAAAGCCCGCACGCCGGAAGACCAAGGGUUCCUGUCCAACGUUAAUCGGGGCAGGGUGAGUCGACCCCUAAGGCGAGGCCGAAAGGCGUAGUCGAUGGGAAACAGGUUAAUAUUCCUGUACUUGGUGUUACUGCGAAGGGGGGACGGAGAAGGCUAUGUUAGCCGGGCGACGGUUGUCCCGGUUUAAGCAUGUAGGCGGAGGUUCCAGGUAAAUCCGGUACCUUUUUAACGCUGAGGUGUGAUGACGAGGCACUACGGUGCUGAAGUAACAAAUGCCCUGCUUCCAGGAAAAGCCUCUAAGCAUCAGGUAACAUUGAAUCGUACCCCAAACCGACACAGGUGGUCAGGUAGAGAAUACCAAGGCGCUUGAGAGAACUCGGGUGAAGGAACUAGGCAAAAUGGUGCCGUAACUUCGGGAGAAGGCACGCUGAUAUGUAGGUGAAGCCCCUGCGGGUGGAGCUGAAAUCAGUCGAAGAUACCAGCUGGCUGCAACUGUUUAUUAAAAACACAGCACUGUGCAAACACGAAAGUGGACGUAUACGGUGUGACGCCUGCCCGGUGCCGGAAGGUUAAUUGAUGGGGUUAUCCGUAAGGAGAAGCUCUUGAUCGAAGCCCCGGUAAACGGCGGCCGUAACUAUAACGGUCCUAAGGUAGCGAAAUUCCUUGUCGGGUAAGUUCCGACCUGCACGAAUGGCGUAAUGAUGGCCAGGCUGUCUCCACCCGAGACUCAGUGAAAUUGAACUCGCUGUGAAGAUGCAGUGUACCCGCGGCAAGACGGAAAGACCCCGUGAACCUUUACUAUAGCUUGACACUGAACAUUGAGCCUUGAUGUGUAGGAUAGGUGGGAGGCUUUGAAGCGUGGACGCCAGUCUGCGUGGAGCCAACCUUGAAAUACCACCCUUUAAUGUUUGAUGUUCUAACGUUGGCCCCUGACCGGGGUUGCGGACAGUGUCUGGUGGGUAGUUUGACUGGGGCGGUCUCCUCCCAAAGAGUAACGGAGGAGCACGAAGGUUAGCUAAUCCUGGUCGGACAUCAGGAGGUUAGUGCAAUGGCAUAAGCUAGCUUGACUGCGAGCGUGACGGCGCGAGCAGGUGCGAAAGCAGGUCAUAGUGAUCCGGUGGUUCUGAAUGGAAGGGCCAUCGCUCAACGGAUAAAAGGUACUCCGGGGAUAACAGGCUGAUACCGCCCAAGAGUUCAUAUCGACGGCGGUGUUUGGCACCUCGAUGUCGGCUCAUCACAUCCUGGGGCUGAAGUAGGUCCCAAGGGUAUGGCUGUUCGCCAUUUAAAGUGGUACGCGAGCUGGGUUUAGAACGUCGUGAGACAGUUCGGUCCCUAUCUGCCGUGGGCGCUGGAGAAUUGAGGGGGGCUGCUCCUAGUACGAGAGGACCGGAGUGGACGCAUCACUGGUGUUCGGGUUGUCAUGCCAAUGGCAUUGCCCGGUAGCUAAAUGCGGAAGAGAUAAGUGCUGAAAGCAUCUAAGCACGAAACUUGCCCCGAGAUGAGUUCUCCCUGAGACUUUAAGUCUCCUGAAGGAACGUUAAAGACGAUGACGUUGAUAGGUCGGGUGUGUAAGCGUAGCGAUACGUUGAGCUAACCGAUACUAAUGAACCGUGAGGCUUAACCUU
rnacentral:rRNA from 1 species